UUGUCGGGAUUGACCGAACGACUACGCGUUUCCUUUUUGUGUUCAACCGAUCGAGCCUAUAAGUACCUCCCUUCUGUUCCUACAUGACACACCGUCCCUUUCACUCUCACUAUCGAUAACAAGUCGCCGGAGACGUCACCGGAACCUUUGGACCUCGCCGGGAUAACCGGAAGCCGCCGGAGUGACCGAAGCAUUCGCCGGAGAAGACCUUCAGUUGCCGGAGAAGGCGACCUCGCUGGAGAAGACGACCGGGUAAAUCUCUUGCGCUCGUUUACAAUUCUCUUGGACAAACUCUUGCUCUUAUUCUUUACCAAGAAACGCAACGCACUCUAAGGUUGAUAGUCAAGAUGAAGAAAUCAAGUUAGGAUGGACUAGAUACCCA